UACGUAGGGUGCAAGGCGUUGUCCGGAAUUAUUGGGCGUAAAGAGCUCGUAGGCGGUCAGUCGCGUCUGCUGUGAAAACUCGGGGCUUAACUCCGGGCCUGCAGUGGGUACGGGCUGACUAGAGUGCGGUAGGGGAGACUGGAAUUCCUGGUGUAGCGGUGAAAUGCGCAGAUAUCAGGAGGAACACCGGUGGCGAAGGCGGGUCUCUGGGCCGUAACUGACGCUGAGGAGCGAAAGCGUGGGGAGCGAACAGG
rnacentral:rRNA from 1 species